UAGGGAAUCUUCGGCAAUGGACGAAAGUCUGACCGAGCAACGCCGCGUGAGUGAAGAAGGUUUUCGGAUCGUAAAACUCUGUUGUUAGAGAAGAACAAGGAUGUUAGUAACUGAACGUCCCCUGACGGUAUCUAACCAGAAAGCCACGGCUAACUACGUGCCAGCAGCCGCGGUAAUACGUAGGUGGCAAGCGUUGUCCGGAUUUAUUGGGCGUAAAGCGAGCGCAGGCGGUUUCUUAAGUCUGAUGUGAACGCCCCCGGCUCAACCGGGGAGGCUCCUUGAAAACUGGGAGACUUGAGGUCAGAAGAGGAGAGUGGAAUUCCAUGUGUAGCGGUGAAAUGCGUAGAUAUAUGGAGGAACACCAGUGGCGAAGGCGGCUCUCUGGUCUGUUACUGACGCUGAGGCUCGAAAGCGUGGGGAGCAAACAGG
rnacentral:rRNA from 1 species